AGGGAAGUGGAUCGGACUGAAGAAUUUGUGGAUCUAAAUACGGAGGAGGCCUGGAAUUACUUCAAGUCAAAGUUGCAGAAACUAUCAGAAGCCUGCAACCCAAGAAA